UACGGAGGAUGCAAGCGUUAUCCGGAUUUAUUGGGUUUAAAGGGUGCGUAGGCGGGGAUUUAAGUCAGUGGUGAAAUACUGCAGCUUAACUGUAGCACUGCCAUUGAUACUGAAUUUCUUGAGUGUGGUUGAAGUAGGCGGAAUGUGUAAUGUAGCGGUGAAAUGCUUAGAGAUUACACAGAACACCGAUUGCGUAGGCAGCUUACUAAGCCAUAACUGACGCUGAGGCACGAAAGUGUGGGGAUCGAACAGG
rnacentral:rRNA from 1 species